CUGUGGCCAAAAAAUUGAGAAUGUGAUGAACUAGAGACAAUUUUAUGGCCACAAGUUCUCCGAUUCUUCCUCUUUGUCAGUCCCCUCUUCUUCUUCUGGGAAUAUGUUUAUUUGUGCUAAGGUACAUUGCCUAAUUCACAUAUUAUGAUAUGUUAGUUUUGUGGGCUAUGGGUAUGGCUACUUCUUUGUUGAUUGAUUAUGGACCUUAUGAUUGUGUGUUUCUUUACAGGUGGACAAGGGUAAGGUUCCACCACCCUUCACAUUGAAAGAUCAGGAUGGAAAAGCUGUGAGCUUCUCCAAGUUCAAAUGAAAGCCUUCGGUUCUCUAUUUCUACCCUGCUGUGUUGAUGAGACCCCAGGGUGCAGCAAACAGAUUCACAUUGGAGCUGACAGUACCAGAUAAAGACUGUAUCUUUAAUUAGUGCAGACACUGAUAAGUUGAUGCUCCCUUAGGCUUGUGAUUUCAGAGAUUCUUAUGAGAAGUCUAAAAAGUCUGGCACUCAACUUGUACUCAGUUCGUUGCCUAUGUUGCACAGAAGAGCUGGCUUGUUCAGAGUUUCUUUGUUCUGCCACUCAGCUACUUAAAAGCUGGGCUCGUGGAGAAAAGAGAAAGGUUGUCUUAGGUUGUGUUGCUCAUGAUCUUCAAAGUGCUAGAUAGCUUGGUUAUCAUUUCGAGUACUUUUACUUUUAAAUCUAAUUUUUAUUGUGAUUUAAAUAUCAUUUUACAAUGGAUAGAUUGACAAAGUUGUAAUUUUGUAUUUUCAAUCAUUGUAUCUAAUUUUAUG